CCACACAGGUGCUGCACGGCUGUCGUCAGCUCGUGUCGUGAGAUGUUGGGUUAAGUCCCGCAACGAGCGCAACCCUCAUCUUUAGUUGCCAUCGGUUCGGCCGGGCACUCUAAAGAAACUGCCUGCGAUGAGCGGGAGGAAGGCGGGGACGACGUCAAGUCAUCAUGGCCCUUAUGGACUGGGCUACACACGUGCUACAAUGGCGGUGACAAUAGGCAGCGAAAGGGCGACCUGGAGCAAAUCCUAAAAAGCCGUCCCAGUUCGGAUUGUACUCUGCAACUCGAGUACAUGAAGUUGGAAUCGCUAGUAAUCGCGGAUCAGCAUGCCGCGGUGAAUACGUUCCCGGGCCUUGUACACACCGCCCGUCACACCAUGGGAGUUGGCUUUACCUGAAGCCGGUGCGCUAACCGCAAGGAAGCAGCCGACCACGGUCAGGUCAGCGACUGGGGUGAAGUCGUAACAAGGUAGCUGUAGGGGAACCUGUGGCUGGAUCACCUCCUUU
rnacentral:rRNA from 1 species